rnacentral:SRP_RNA from 1 species
UGCUAGGUGGGAAGGUAGCGGUGUCCUGUAACUCGCAAUCCGCUUUAGCGAGACUGAAGUCCUGUUCCGAGGUUGUCCGUAUGUUUGGUCUGCCUCUUGCACGUAGUGUUGACGAUCGGGUCCUACGCAAUGAGCGUCCAUGAACCAUGUCAGGUCCGGAAGGAAGCAGCAUUAAUUGGAUUAACUCAUGUGCCGUGGGGUCGCCUGAUUUGAGCUGGCGACAAGAGUUACGCUUGUGUACGGCUGUCGAAGUCGGGUGCAUG